GGUGACACUCUUCUCAACGUUUCACCUCUGUUUUCCAUCAUAAAAAAUUCCCCCUUUCCUUCUCUCCUCCUCCACUCUGCUUGUGCUCUCUCCUUCCCCACUGCCUCUGAUUAACACACACUUCUUGAUGCCCCCGGCUACAGUCUUUGGCAGGCUGAAUGAAGACAGUCAUCCAACGAGUGGAGAAGAUGGCAAGCACUGCUCCUGAGACGGGAUCCUUUUCGAUAGGAGUUGCUAAGGUCAAGCAGGACCUCCUAAAGGCCUUCAUGACGUGCCAAAUCUGCCACAAGCUUGUCACUGAUGCCACCACCAUCUCCGAAUGCCUCCAUACUUGUUAUGUGAUUGCAUGUGUUGUGGAUCUCCACCUCGGCCUCGGCUAGAUACAUCCUCGGCAUCGAUCGAACUUCAGAAGAUGGACCAGAUCAAACAACACAUCUGUUAUGGGCCCAAAAGUUGCCGGACGCUCACCAUAGUAGACGUAGUAGCUGGGUCCUCGACUUAUGCGGAGGAGUUCACCUGGCUCUGGACGAGCUAUUUUGGGUUGGCUGGAACCCGAACUAUGGUCGGAGGACCACCGUUGACAGAAUUCGCCUCUCCAGCAAAUUGGGAAAGUCCAGAUAGAGAAGAACUUCCCCCAAAAAGAAAGAACUCUCGCCAACUCAAUCAAUACGUAAAAUUCGAAUGACUCCGAUUUCUCUCCUAUAAAUAAAGAGGCAUUGAGACCCUCGAAACUAAGUUCUCCACUCCCACUCUCCCUCUCAUUGUUCUCCAUCUCCUGAUCUGAGCGUUGAAGGGUCUUCACCAGAGAACACCCCGGUGAGGACAUUUUGCAGGUUCUUGGGCGGAGCUCUAGUGGCAGCAGUACCUCGGCUACCUCCACCUCGGCUGCCCGACCUCAGUUUGCAGAAAGUGUAUUUUUGAGAAGCUUGCUGAUGAGGAGGUAGAUCAUUGUCCCAUAUGCAAUAUUGAUCCUGGUUGCAAUUCAUUCAAAAAGCUCAGACCUGAUCACAAUCUAUAAGGGAAAAAAUAUUUCCAUUUAAAAAUGAAAAGGAAAAUGUUGGGACUUCUGUUGCUGAAGCAAAUCAAGCCAACGGUCUUACUGCUGAAGUAUCCAUUUCUUCAGUGGGGGCCAGAGCUAGAAGGUUAGGAUGAGUUCGCCAGUGGAGGGAGCCGGGAACCUCAGCUCAAGCACAACUAAAUCAGUUUUGGAUUUAUUUAGUUGCUGCAGUCGGCUAAGAUGGUAAUCUACCUAUUUCUUAUAUCCAAAAGUAUCUGACAAGGAAACUUGAUAUUUCAAAUGAAUCCAAGGUGGAGAUCAUGUGCCAGGGUCAAACGGUAAGUCCACCAAUGACCCUGCAAAAUGUAGCCGAUCUGUGGUUCCAAACUCUAUCAUCAGAUAUUAUCCAGGCGCCAAUUGGAUCUUCAGCCAAGGACCUUGUCAUGGAUUUAGUUUACAGCUGCAAGGUUCCAGCCUCUUGACUGUUGUAUUCUUUCAAAAUCUCCAAGGACAUCAGUCUUUUAAGUGCCCCUUGCAAUUGGGCCCUUGAGCUUCAUGAUUGGUCAGGCUAUGCAAUUGCUGGGUUGUUCUAUGAGCAAAACUUGGAUAAUUAAAGUC